AACUUGGUAUCUCCCAGCUCCCAUCUCAGGAGGGCAAAGAAAGUCCCAUACCUUCUUCCAAAAUCCAAUUCCAUUGCAGAAACUGGCACAUGACCCAUAUUCAAUGAAGGGAGAUCCUUUCACCCGCAUCAAAGCAGCUUCAUCCAUGCGAAACAGGGGAGAGGGAAUGAUCCCAUGCGUCCGCCACAUCGAUCCCAAGCGCCCGUUCGAAUGCAUCCAACUCCCGUGCCAGCCACCGUGCCAGCAA
rnacentral:lncRNA from 1 species